rnacentral:rRNA from 1 species
GACGAACGCUGGCGGCGUGCUUAACACAUGCAAGUCGAACGAAGUGGCGAACGGGUGAGUAACGCGUAAUCAACCUGCCUUUCAGAGGGGGACAACAGUUGGAAACGACUGCUAAUACCGCAUACUGAAGGAGGGGAUUGCGGUUGAUUAGCUAGUUGGAGGGGUAACGUCCCACCAAGGCGAUGAUCAGUAGCCGGUCUGGGAGGAUGAACGGCCACAUUGGGACUGAGACACGGCCCAGACUCUUACGGGGAGCAGCAGUGGAGAAUCUUACGCAAUGGACGAACGUCUGACGGAGCAACGCGGCGGGAGUGAUGACGGCCUUCGGGUUGUAAGGCUCUGUUAAUCGGGACGCGGUACCGAAAUAGAAAGCCACGGCUAACUACGUGCCAGCAGCCGCGGUAAUAC